GACGAACGCUGGCGGCGUGCUUAACACAUGCAAGUCGAGCGGUAAGGCCCUUUCGGGGGUACGACGAGCGGCGAACGGGUGAGUAACACGUGGGUGACCUGCCCUCCAGCUCUGGGAGUAAGACCUCGGGAAACCGGGGUACUAAUACCGGAUAUGACUCCAUGACGCAUGUUGUGGGGUGGAAAGCCUUGUGCGGCUGAGGAUGGGCCCGCGGCCUAUCAGCUUGUUGGUGGGGUGAUGGCCUACCAAGGCGACGACGGGUAGCCGGCCUGAGAGGGCGACCGGCCACACUGGGGACUGAGACACGGCCCAGACUCCUACGGGAGGCAGCAGUGGGGAAUCUUGCGCAAUGGGCGAAAGCCUGACGCAGCGACGCCGCGUGAGGGAUGACGGCC
rnacentral:rRNA from 1 species